CAGACAGGGGACCGGCAGGGGGCGCCCUCGCCCUGCAGCCACAGCGGAGCCCCACGGUGGAAGGGAGAGGCCCCUUCCUGCCCGCCAGGACUCGGCCGUGAGAAGCCCAGGCUCUGUGUACCCAGCCGGCCGGGCCCGUGUCCCCUCUAUGAAAGCUGCUCCUUCCCUUGCCGGGUGGGGUCUUGCAUGUGGCCGCCACGGCAGAGAGCCUUAACUGCAAUUCCCUGCUGAUCCCGAAUUGAAUAAACCCAACUUUGGUGAUUGAUAGGGAGGCCUGGCGUGCUGCGAUUCAUGGGGUCGCAAAGAAUCGGUUGCAGCUGAGCAACUGAACUGAACUGAACUGAACUGAACUUUGAGGCAGAAACACCUGCAGUCUGUUUGCUUCAGGUCAACAGACGCAAGCUUGCAUUUUGGAAGGUAACCUCCUACCCUUCGUGAGAAACCCAGCACGUCGUCAAGGCCAUCCGGCUCCCGGAACACUAGGCCUGGCCAAGAAGGCACCCUCCUAAACCUCCAAGGCCAUGCCCUACAGAGCAGGUCCUAUUUCAGGCCCCGUCCCCCAGGCACCACCUGCCAGGGUGGCAGCAUCUGGGCGGUCUUGGCACGACCCGGGCAGGACAGACCAGCGGAAAUCGGCCUCGUAACAGCUGAGCCCUGCUUGCCACAGUUUUUGUUUGUUUCGUUUUGGCAGCUUCGUUGCCACAGGGCCCAGUGAGGACUGACUGCUCUGAUCAAGCCACUAGGACUCUCUCGGCAUUUGAGGAGGCAGUUCUUGGGGCUUCCCACGAAGAUUCACCCAGCUCCCUUCCAGGACGCUGCACGGUGGCGGGCCCGGACAACAGGCCCUGGCUCAUCUUGCUCUUCACUUCUUGUGACAUGAGUCACCCAGAUGAUUCCAGAGAAAAACCAGCGGCACGAUGGAAAGUCACCCGGCGUGCCUCCAUGACGUGGUCUGAAAUGCCCCCAUCUCGUGAACAGGGCCUGUCUGCUCAUCUCUGACCCCGGGGGCAACUGAACAUGCUCAGGGAGUGUGGAUGGUCAAGCACUUGAACAGGCCUCUGACCACAGACCCUCUAAUGCAGACACAGUGGCUCGGGGAUGGACUUCUCCCGGUCUGGGUCCACGGCCCUCCCUUCUUCUCCUGGUUUCUGGAGGGCUCACGUUCGGGGGUCUCUGAGGCCCGCUCCUCCUCCCCGGGGCUGCUGUAGCCUCUGCUUCACUCUGGUCUCAGGAGCAGGGCCACUGAGCAGAGGAGACAGGGAAGCCCGCUCAUCCUUCCA
ensembl:lncRNA